GACGAACGCUGGCGGCGUGCUUAACACAUGCAAGUCGAACGGAAAGGCCCUGCUUUUGUGGGGUGCUCGAGUGGCGAACGGGUGAGUAACACGUGAGUAACCUGCCCUUGACUUUGGGAUAACUUCAGGAAACUGGGGCUAAUACCGGAUAGGAGCUCCUGCUGCAUGGUGGGGGUUGGAAAGUUUCGGCGGUUGGGGAUGGACUCGCGGCUUAUCAGCUUGUUGGUGGGGUAGUGGCUUACCAAGGCUUUGACGGGUAGCCGGCCUGAGAGGGUGACCGGCCACAUUGGGACUGAGAUACGGCCCAGACUCCUACGGGAGGCAGCAGUGGGGAAUAUUGCACAAUGGGCGGAAGCCUGAUGCAGCAACGCCGCGUGCGGGAUGACGGCCUUCGGGUUGUAAACCGCUUUCGCCUGUGACGAAGCGUGAGUGACGGUAAUGGGGAAAGUAGCACCGGCGAACUACGU
rnacentral:rRNA from 1 species